rnacentral:rRNA from 1 species
CGACCCGGACCCAGGCGACCGCCGGGGGACCCAAACUCUUGUCUUUUAGUGUAUUAUCUGAGUGGCAUAAGCAAAUAAAUUAAAACUUUCAGCAACGGAUCUCUUGGUUCUGGCAUCGAUGAAGAACGCAGCGAAAUGCGAUAAGUAAUGUGAAUUGCAGAAUUCAGUGAAUCAUCGAAUCUUUGAACGCACAUUGCGCCCGCCAGUACUCUGGCGGGCAUGCCUGUCCGAGCGUCAUUUCAACCCUCAGCACCCCCGUUCGCGGCGGGAGCUGGCGUUGGGGAUCGGCCGUCCUCUGCGGCGGCCGGCCCCGAAACGAAGUGGCGGUCACGUCGCGACCUCCUCUGCGUAGUAGCAAUAUCUCGCAGCCUGGAUAGCGGCGCGGCCACGCCGUAAAACCCCAACUAUACCAAGGUUGACCUCGGAUCAGGUAGGAAU